UACGUAGGGUGCGAGCGUUAAUCGGAAUUACUGGGCGUAAAGGGUUUGUAGGUGGCCAACUAAGUCAGACGUGAAAUCCCUCAGCUUAACUGGGGAACUGCGUCUGAUACUGGUUGGCUUGAGUUUGGGAGAGGGAUGCGGAAUUCCAGGUGUAGCGGUGAAAUGCGUAGAUAUCGGGAGGAACACCUGUGGCGAAAAGCGGCUCACUGGACCACAACUGACGCUGAGGCGCGAAAGCUAGGGGAGCAAACAGG
rnacentral:rRNA from 1 species